rnacentral:rRNA from 1 species
GAUGAACGCUAGCUACAGGCUUAACACAUGCAAGUCGAACGAAGGCUUCGGCCUUAGUGGCAGACGGGUGAGUAACACGUGGGAACGUACCUUUUGGUUCGGAACAACUGAGGGAAACUUCAGCUAAUACCGGAUAAGCCCUUACGGGGAAAGAUUUAUCGCCGAAAGAUCGGCCCGCGUCUGAUUAGCUAGUUGGUGAGGUAAUGGCUCACCAAGGCGACGAUCAGUAGCUGGUCUGAGAGGAUGAUCAGCCACAUUGGGACUGAGACACGGCCCAAACUCCUACGGGAGGCAGCAGUGGGGAAUAUUGGACAAUGGGGGCAACCCUGAUCCAGCCAUGCCGCGUGAGUGAUGAAGGCCCUAGGGUUGUAAAGCUCUUUUGUGCGGGAAGAUAAUGACGGUACCGCAAGAAUAAGCCCCGGCUAACUUCGUGCCAGCCGCCGCAGUAA